GGAGGGAUGGCCGAGUGGUUUAAGGCGGCGGUCUUGAAAACCGUUGAGGGUCGUGAGGUCCUCCGGGAGUUCGAAUCUCUCUCCCUCCGCCA
rnacentral:tRNA from 1 species